GGCUCUGGAGAUGCCCGUGCAGUACAGGGAGCCGAAGGGGAAAGUGCGGCGGAUGGAGAUGUCCGCUUCUUACGAAUCUCUCAGGCAAAAGGACAGAGACGG
rnacentral:ncRNA from 1 species